GGCAGCUUAUACCAUGAAAGCUUAUACACAGGUGCAGGAAGUGCUGGUGGGUGGUUGGUUCAUGUCCAAGCUUAUCGUGUGUAACUAUACAAAAUAGUUCUACUGACUUGUAUCAUGGUUGUUUCCAAGGGCACUGAACAGAACAGAAUAUGUAAUCGAUCUUGCCAUUAGAAAAUUUCCUAGUAAUAACAGAAACACAUGAGAAAGUUUUUUGUUUUUAUCAUGAAAGGCUAGCCAGGUAAGUGUUACCUAGGUUUUAACAUUUCACUUAGGUCUCAACAUUCCAUGUGACAUCGUCACUUUGUCUUUUCUCAAAUUAGAUGCUGCUUUCCAACAUGACUGCUUCCUUCUACAAACUCACUUUACCUUCAUUGUUUGGGAUUAAAUGUGUGCACUAAGUGUGUGCCUAUAUUCCAUCCAGAAGCAUUAAAAGUGUGUCAUUCCAGCUGGAUCCCAUAGACCUAGAAGGCCUUUGGAUGCGAUCCCUUGCCAGAGAGAGCAGCCAUGUUGCUGGAUUAGACUUCCUGUACACGGGUUGCUAAUGUUGUCUUCCUGUGGAGCUGCGCCUUCACAGUCCACACUGUUCUCAGUCCUUCCAAGCCUGUAUAGGACUGCCCGUUAAGCCAUCUUUACAGCAUGCAGUCACUUUCCUACCCCACAGUCUUCCACAUUCCUCAAAAAUCAAACAAACAAAACAUCCCAGCAAGGUCACGGUCACAUUGACAUCUCUGGGUCCACUGGCAUAACCAUGUGAUUGUUCUUGUUUGGGGCAUUUCUAGUGUCAUUUCUGUAGCUGUGAUAAAAUACCUAGCAGAAUCAAUUUAGGAACCAUGGAGUUUAUUUUGUAUUACACUUCUUGAUUAAAGACCAUCAUUGUAAGGGAGUAAAGGCCUGAUUUUCAAGCAGCUAAUUACACCACAUUCCUAGUCAAGAACAGAGAGAAAUGGCUGCACCCAUGCUGCCAGCUUGCUCGACCUAGCUCUCCCCUGUCCUUUGGAGAUCAGGACAACGUGUGCAGGGAAUGGUGCCACCCACAACGGUCUACAUCUUCUCACUUGAUUAGGAAUUCAGACAGUGGUCCCAUAGGCCAAUUGACCUAGGUAGCCCUUCAACAGACACUACCUUGUGUGUGACUCUAGGCCAGUGGUUCUCAACCUUCAUAAUGCUGUGACCCGUUAAUACAGUUCUUCGUGUUGUGGUGACCCACCCCCAACCAAAAAAUUAAUUUUGGUACUACUUUAUAACUAUAAUUUUGCUACUGUUAUGAAUCAUAAUAUAAAUAUCUGUAUUUUCUGAUGGUGUUAGUCAACCUCAUCGAAAGAAUCAUUCAAAAACCGGAAGAGUCACAGGCCACAGGUUGAGAACCACUUGUCUAGACUGUCAAGGUGACAAAACUAGCCAUCACAUGGAGAGUGGCAUUCAGGUCAGUUCCAGCUCAGGGCUCUCUGAGCCAUGUUUUUUUCAGCAACAGAAACUUACUCUCUACCUCUAGGGGAUGGCGGAGAGUGGUCGCGGACAUCAGAAAUAAGCUGUACAUGUUGGAUCUCUCUUAGAUAAUUCCCACCAGUACUUAAAAGAGAGCUUUUAUGUGUAAGAAGGUGAGAUAUUUUUUGGUUGGUCUUUUGCUCUUGGAGGGACCACCAUCAGCCCAGGUGAAAAAAAGUCAUGAAAACUAUAUGUCUAUAAUUUAUAUGCAGAAUUACAUUUGUUAUAGUUUUAGGUAAAUAGUUGAUAGUAGGACUGUUUGUGUCCUUUACAGACACACUUGUUAUCUUACCUUUGACCAUAUACUUAGGCUCUUCUAUGAGCAGAUCAUAACUUAGAUAACUCAAUUAUAUUAACC
rnacentral:lncRNA from 1 species